ACGCCUUAUACAUGCAAGUCGAACGAAGUAGAAAUACUUAGUGGCAGACGGGUGAGUAACAUGUAGGUAUCUUCCCUUUGGUGAGGAAUAACACGAGGAAACUUGUGCUAAUACCUCAUAAGUCUUUACGGAGAAAGCUUUAUGCGCCGAAGGAUGAGCCUGCACUUGAUUAGUUUGUUGGUGGGGUAAUGGCCUACCAAGACUUUGAUCUAUAGCUGAUCUGAGAGGAUGAUCAGCCACAUUGGGACUGAGACACGGCCCAAACUCCUACGGGAGGCAGCAGUAGGGAAUAUUGCACAAUGGAGGAAACUCUGAUGCAGCGAUGCCGCGUGAGUGAAGAAGGCCUUUGGGUUGUAAAGCUCUUUCGUCGGGGAAGAAAAUGACUGUACCCGAAUAAGAAGGUCCGGCUAACUUCGUGCCAGCAGCCGCGGUAAUACGAAGGGACCUAGCGUAGUUCGGAAUUACUGGGCUUAAAGAGUUCGUAGGUGGUUAAAAAAGUUGGUGGUGAAAUCCCAGAGCUUAACUCUGGAACUGCCAUCAAAACUUUUUAGCUAGAGUAUGAUAGAGGAAAGCAGAAUUUCUAGUGUAGAGGUGAAAUUCGUAGAUAUUAGAAAGAAUACCAAUUGCGAAGGCAGCUUUCUGGAUCAUUACUGACGCUGAGGAACGAAAGCAUGGGUAGCGAAGAGGAUUAGAUACCCUCGUAGUCCAUGCCGUAAACGAUGUGUGUUAGACGUUGGAAAUUUAUUUUCAGUGUCGCAGCGAAAGCAUUAAACACACCGCCUGGGGAGUACGACCGCA
rnacentral:rRNA from 1 species